AUGGCAUUAAGGUCUUCCAAGAAGCAGAUGCCAAGAUGGGCUCAAAUGUGCAAGAUAUUUAUGGAAAACCACCUAUGAAGGACAAAGGAACAGAGAACAAGAGCCUUCCCCCAUGUCUAAUACCUGUGAAAGGAGAGAGAGAAGGAAGAAUUUAGUAGGAAGAGCCUGAGGUUGCUGCUUAGUUCUGAGAAAGCCUCAGCGAGGCCGAUGGAGAGCCCUUGAGCUGAGGUUGCCCAUUAGACAAAUUCUGCAUCAGAUGAGGGAAGGAAUCAUAAUUGGCUAACAAGAGGAGAUACAUUUGACUAUGUUAAGAGAACUGGAGGUGCUGAUCAGAAACCCACAAAUAUCUGCCAGGCUGGCAACAGACCCUAAAGAGAGAGAUUAACAAAAAACAGUUGAGGAGCAAGCUAAAUUCCUACAGGCAAUAGUGGGACCAGAGCUCAUAGGCUGGCACCAAUAGUACAGUUUGGUCCCAAGGAGAAGCAGCAAGGCCAUGCAGGGAAUCACAUAAACAGGUCAGAUUUGUUUGAAGCAGUUUGACAGAGGAACAGACUAUAAAUUGUGGAAACCUGCCCACCUUUGUUUAUUCUUUGGCUGUGGAGGAACCAAGGAUAAAUAACUUGUAUACAAG
rnacentral:lncRNA from 1 species